rnacentral:rRNA from 1 species
UACGUAGGUGGCAAGCGUUGUCCGGAUUUACUGGGCGUAAAGCGCGCGCAGGCGGUCGUUCAAGUCGAGUGUGAAAGCCCCCGGCUCAACUGGGGAGGGUCACGCGAUACUGGUCGACUCGAAGGCAGGAGAGGGUAGUGGAAUUCCCGGUGUAGUGGUGAAAUGCGUAGAUAUCGGGAGGAACACCAGUGGCGAAGGCGACUACCUGGUCUGUUCUUGACGCUGAGGCGCGAAAGCUAGGGGAGCAAACGGG